UACGUAGGGUGCAAGCGUUGUCCGGAAUUAUUGGGCGUAAAGAGCUCGUAGGCGGUUUGUCGCGUCGGGAGUGAAAACCUUGGGCUUAACUCAGGGCUUGCUUUCGAUACGGGCAGACUAGAGGUAUGCAGGGGAGAACGGAAUUCCUGGUGUAGCGGUGAAAUGCGCAGAUAUCAGGAGGAACACCGGUGGCGAAGGCGGGUUGCUGGGCCGACACUGACGCUGAAGCGCGAAAGCCAGGGGAGCGAACGGG
rnacentral:rRNA from 1 species